GUUCUUGAAAAAUAUAUAUUAUUAACUAUGAUAUUAUGUAUUUAUGAAUUCAUCUUUAUGUGUUUUAGAAGAAGGACAAGAAUAAAUGAAAAAGAUGGAGGAAGGAAAAUGGGAGAAAGGAAGGGAGGAAGAAAAAAAGAAAAGACAAGGAAAGGGAAGAACAAAGAAGAAAGGGGAAGGAAGGAGUCUAGAAUGGAAGGAAGGAAGGAAGGAAGGAAAGAAGGAAGGAAGGAAGGAAGAAAAGGAAAGGAAAGAUGGAAGAGGAAAAGUUUUUGAAACUCCUUUCGGUUGGUCCAAAUAUAGAGUAACCAUAUGGUUGCACAUGCCUGCCUACCAAGUAACAGAAAGAUGCUGCCAUUGCACUGUGAGCUGA
rnacentral:lncRNA from 1 species